rnacentral:rRNA from 2 species
GCAUAUCAAUAAGCGGAGGAAAAAGAAACCAACAGGGAUUGCCCCCAGUAACGGCGAGUGAAGCGGCAACAGCUCAAAUUUGAAAUCUGGCCUCACGGCCCGAGUUGUAAUUUGCAGAGGAUGCUUUUGGCGCGGCGCCUUCCGAGUGCCCUGGAACGGGACGCCAUAGAGGGUGAGAGCCCCGUCUGGUUGGAUGCCUAGCCUCUGUAAAGCUCCUUCGACGAGUCGAGUAGUUUGGGAAUGCUGCUCAAAAUGGGAGGUAUAUGUCUUCUAAAGCUAAAUAUUGGCCAGAGACCGAUAGCGCACAAGUAGAGUGAUCGAAAGAUGAAAAGCACUUUGAAAAGAGGGUUAAAUAGUACGUGAAAUUGUUGAAAGGGAAGCGCUUGUGACCAGACUUGGGCUUGGUGAAUCAUCCGGCGUUCUCGCCGGUGCACUUUGCCUGUCCAGGCCAGCAUCAGUUCGCCGUGGGGGAUAAAGGCGUGGGGAAUGUGGCUCCUCCGGGAGUGUUAUAGCCCCGCGUGUAAUACCCUGUGGCGGACUGAGGUUCGCGCUCCGCAAGGAUGCUGGCGUAAUGGUCAUCAGCGACCCGUCUUGAAACACGGACCAAGGAGUCGUCUUCGUAUGCGAGUGUUCGGGUGUCAAACCCCUACGCGUAAUGAAAGUGAACGUAGGUGAGAGCUUCGGCGCAUCAUCGACCGAUCCUGAUGUUCUCGGAUGGAUUUGAGUAAGAGCAUACGGGGCCGGACCCGAAAGAAGGUGAACUAUGCCUGUAUAGGGUGAAGCCAGAGGAAACUCUGGUGGAGGCUCGCAGCGGGUUCUGACGUGCAAAUCGAUCGUCAAAUAUGGGCAUGGGGCGAAAGACUAAUCGAAACCUUUCUAGUAGCUGGGUUUCCGCGA